CCCUUAGAGUUUGAUCCUGGCUCAGAAUGAACGCUGGCGGCGUGCUUUACACAUGCAAGUCGAGCGAGGCGGCCCGCAAGGGCCAGUCGAGCGGCGAACGGGUGAGUAACGCGUGGAUGAUCUGCCCUUCAGCGGGGAAUAACCCGGGGAAACUCGGGCUAAUACCGCAUACGACCGAGAGGUGAAAGGGGGCUCGCAAGAGCUUCCACUGAAGGAGGGGUCCGCGUUCGAUUAGCUAGUUGGUAGGGUAAUGGCCUACCAAGGCGACGAUCGAUAGCCGGCCUGAGAGGGUGAUCGGCCACACUGGAACUGAGACACGGUCCAGACUCCUACGGGAGGCAGCAGUGGGGAAUUUUGCGCAAUGGGCUAACGCCUGACGCAGCAACGCCGCGUGGAGGAUGAAGGUCCUUGGAUCGUAAACUCCUGUCAGCAGGGAAAAAGGGACUGGGCCUAAUACGUCCGGAACUUGAUUGUACCUGCAGAGGAAGCCCCGGCUAACUCUGUGCCAGCAGCCGCGGUAAUACAGAGGGGGCGAGCGUUAUUCGGAAUUAUUGGGCGUAAAGGGCGCGUAGGCGGCCAUUCAAGUGAUGGGUGAAAGCCCUCGGCUUAACCGAGGAACUGCCUGUCAGACUGGGUGGCUUGAGACCGGGAGAGGUGAGUGGAAUUCCCAGUGUAGCGGUGAAAUGCGUAGAUAUUGG
rnacentral:rRNA from 1 species